rnacentral:misc_RNA from 1 species
UUCUUAUAUCACUACCUCAUCGGACAUACCAUAAACACCACUCUUUCUUUUUCAUUAAUUAUCGGUUUAUUCUUCACAAGGUUUCCAUUUCUGUUUUGCUUCAUCGUCGCUGGUUGGAACGCCGAUCCGGCGUCCAUUUCCAGCGAUGCAUAGCGUUGACUCCCCAUUCCGAGGAAUUGUUGAAGACUUUAAUGGAAGAAAAGCUUGCUACUUACAAGAUUGGACCAAUGCACUCGGAACCGGUGUCAGGAUUUUGGCUCCAACGACCUAUAUAUUCUUCGCUUCUGCUCUUCCAGUUAUUGCCUUCGGAGAGCAACUUAGCAGGGAAACAGAUGGAACCCUGAGCGCGGUGGAAACCCUGGCUUCUACUGCUAUAUGCGGUAUCAUACACUCUUUGAUUGGUGGCCAGCCUUUGCUAAUCUUGGGAGUUGCGGAACCCACGGUUAUAAUGUACAACUAUUUGUAUAGUUUUGCAAUAAGAGCUGACGCCAUUGGAAAGAAGCUCUAUUUGGCUUGGGCUGGAUGGGUGUGUGUCUGGACAGCUCUUCUACUCUUUCUUCUUGCUAUGUUCAAUGCUUGCACAAUCAUCAAUAGAUUUACAAGGGUUGCAGGAGAACUUUUUGGCAUGUUAAUUGCAGUCCUUUUCAUUCAACAAGCGGUGAAGGGGAUGGUAGGUGAAUUCAAAAUCCCCGAUAACGAAGACCCAAACAUAGAGAAAUAUAGUUUUCAGUGGCUAUACACAAACGGCCUGCUGGGUGUCAUAUUCACCUUUGGCUUACUCUUCACUGCUUUAAAAAGCAGAGGUGCAAGAUCAUGGCAAUAUGGCACAGGAUGGUUUCGGAGCUUCAUUGCGGAUUAUGGAGUUUCUUUAAUGGUGGUAUUAUGGGCAGCAU